AGCGCGGGAAGCUGGGGGCGGAGCCGGAGCGGCCAGGCGGCCCCGCGACGCAGCGGGCUCAGAGGUCCUCGCCCACCGUGGAGAGCUGUAUGGGCUUAAGAGUCACCUGCCUUGGAAACGUGUGUGUCAGACUUCGUCUGCUGUUUGCAGAACACUAGCCACACUGGGGAAGCGCGGAAUGAGUAACAGCCUCUGCUUUCAAGGAUAUCCCAAUCAGUCAGGCGGAGGAGCAGAUGGGUAAACAGAAACUGAAGAAGAGGCUGAAUAUGAAGCAGUUGGAAUAGUGAAAAGACAGCAGCCAUUGAUACAUGGACUCACGGCCAGAGAAGACAAGAAAAUGAGCCCCUCAGAAAUUAUCGACUAAAACAGAAUGAAUGGAUCCUGGCUAAGCCCCUGCCAUGGCAAAAUCCAGUGGAAUUGAUGUUCAGAAAGGGCUCUUGAUGAUUUGCUGUGUGAAGUGGAUUAAUACUGUCGGGCCAGCUCUAAGAAUAUCACACACAAUCACAGAGUCUGGACUUCUAGACUCCAAAUUCUCUUCCCUGCAUAAAGGAGGCUGCACUGUUACUGCUUUAGCUCAGUGCUUCAGUCAUGCCUUCCAUGAGACCCUGACCAAAAAAGAUAAAAUCUAAAUGUACAGUGGAAGAAAGAAAGUGAUACGUCCAGCAACUAUUUCUCAGAGAGCUGUCACUUAACUGCUUAUGUGCUUAAAUGGAGCAAGCUGCCAUGUUAGAGAGUCCCACGUGGCAAAGAACUGAGAGAGGCCUCCAGCCAACAGCCAGAGAGGAACUGAAUCCUGCCAGCAAGCAUGCUGCCCCUGUGACUGCUUUUACCAAUAGAUGGAAGUGGAUAUGUUGUUCUGGGACUUCUGAAUCCAGGCCUGAGAGAACUGGUUACCUCCUCUCCCUUUUUCUUGGAAUACUGCUUCUUAGAACCCAGUUACUAUGGUGGGAGAAGCCCAAGCCACAUGGAGAAAUCAUGUGAAUUAGAGCCAAGACACUCCAGUUGACAGCUGCAACUGAGCCUGCAUCAACUACUAUUGAUGUAAAUGAAUCUUCCGACCCCAAAAGAUUUUGAUCUUUGAACAAGACCUAAUGAACAAGGCCUAAUUAGCAUUUUAAUCUAAUCAAUCAGUUCACAAAUUUCUCUUUGCUAGGGAAGGGAUGGAGGAGUUGGAAGGGCUGGGGAAAUAUUUGUAACUCCCAGUGCACCAAUAGCUGGGGUGGGGAAUUUAUUUUGCUCAUAUGGUGCAUCUCUGAUAAGCCCCACCCAUAAAAUUGCAUCCCUGAUGAGCCCAGUCUAUAAUUGGGCUUUAAGGCAGUCACUAUGCACUAUGGCUCCUAUCUAGAUGUGGAGCCUGUAAUCUGUUUCAUACUUGGCCCCUUGUUCUUUACUCUGAAGUGACCUGGCCAUGUAUCAUGCCUUGACCUACCUAUAAAAUAAGCCACAUCUUCCCACAAGUUGUGACAAGGAGUACAACCUACUUGGAGGCCACUUUCCUCUCUAUGAAUAGGAGAGAACUAGUAAGGAACAAAUUAAAACAGUUAGUUUACUUUCUACCAAUUAGAUGCUGCCAGCACUUGGAAAGGGAAGUCAAGAUGUAGUCAUCCACCAAAGGAUAAAUAGUGGUCCCUCAGUAGGUUCCACUGCCCAUACAUGGACUUGAAUUCUCCCUGCUUCUGGACUAAGUAAGAAUGAUCAAGGAGCCUGUGGAUAUCUGUUGUCUUCCCAAUAUCCCUUUUUCCACUGGAGAACAUCCCUUCCCUGUCCCUAGUAGUUCCGGUAGUAUUAUCAAGUAGUGCCGUACCAACAUCGUUGGGUAGAGGUGGAAAAGUGCCCUAGGCCUAGAUAGUUGUAAUGCUUCCUCUUACUGUCCACAGUAGUCAAAUGAAUGGGCAUAUGACACAGUUACAGACAAUCAGAGUCACUACAUGAGAUAUGCUAGAAUAUGGUUGGAGAGUAAGGCUCUUUUUCUAGAAUUGAACGUUGUUGAGAAUCAUAAAGUCAAAAGAUACACAUGUCCUUGUUUCCUACCACAGAGGAGAGCAGAGCUGAGAGAGGGAAUAAUAAGGCCUAAUGACAUUGUUUAAACACCUAUAUCAAGCUAUGCUUGAAGAUAAUACCAAUCCUAGGGCUUUUCGGUUAAUUGAACCAACAAAUUCCCUUUCUUAAUGCUUAAGGGAAUUGGAGUUGGGUUUCUGUUAGUUAUACCUAAAGAGUCUUGGGUAGCAAGGGGCACUAUCCUUGAUCCUUCCCUGACAUUUGUAUCUUGAAUUAUGAAAGGGAGGACACUAAUUAUUCACCCUUAUCUAUCACGAAUGUAUUAAUUUGUGGGGCACUUGGGUGGCUCAGUCGGUUGGGCAUCGGACUUCGGCUCAGGUCAUGAUCUCGCAGUUUGUGAGUUCGAGCCCCAUGUCGGGCUCUGUGCUGACAGCUCAGAGCCUGGAGCCUGCUUUGAAUUCUGUGUCUCCCUCUCUCUCUCCCUCUCCCCCAUUCACACUCUGUUUCUUUAUUUCUCUCUCAAAAAUAAAUAAACAUUAAAAAAAAUUUUUUAAGAAUAUAUUCAUUCUUCAGAGCCCUUGAUCAUCAAUUCUGGGGGGGGGAGGGGUGGUAAGGAGGCAGGGCAAUUCUCUUCAUUUUUCACAUGUAGCAUCUGAUAGAAAGAUGAAGGUCCUUCUAACAGCUCAGUAGCUGUCCAAUUAAAAAUGCAUAUUGAGUAGCUAUAUAAUAAAAUACAAGAUAAUCACCAUCAUCAAGUGAGGGACCUCAUGGAGACAAGAUUUAUAUACAUGCAAUACCUAGAUAGCUAUCACAGGCUUGACACAUUUUAUAGGACAAAAUAAAAUGCACAAAUAGCAUGUACCAUAAAAAUUUGAGAAAUUUCAGGGUUUCCUGGUCAGAUGAUAGAAAACCUCAAAAAAGAACCUGGAAAGUAUCAGUAUGCCAAAAUGGUUAGGAAAUUUGGCUCCUUAGGGCAAAGGGGCAAGUGGAAACUCUGGAGACCGACAUUUUAUUCCAUUCCUUUUUGUAUGUCGUCUCUCUCUUCCAUAAAAUCUGAAACCUGUUGCUCUUAUUUAUAUUUUGGUGGUUGUUUUUUUGUCACUCCCUGUGUGUCCCUCAAAGACAGGAACCAUGUCAUGUUUACCAGUGAAUCCCUGGCACAAAUCUCAGGAACUAGUAUAGAGCAGAUGGUCAGAUGCAUGUUGAAUGGAGGGAUGAAUGGAUGGGGCAGCAGCACCAAGAUCCAAGCCAUUGGAGACUCACAGACCAUUCCUCUUCUUCCUCCCUACCCUUCCUGUCUAACUUUCCUCUCUGCCAUAUAGGUGCAGUUAAAACAUAUGUCAUUUGCCAGGAUACAAGAUGCAAAUUAGUAAGUGCUGGGGAAGUAACAAAUUAGAGUCACUGUCCUACAUAUUUCCCUAGACCUUGAGGACCUGGCUCUGCCAAGGGCUCCCUGCCCAGGGACAUAAGCUGCUCUCUUGCCAGCUUGCUGUGCUGACAGCUCUAAUUGCUAAAUGAACAGUCUGUGUUUCUAGUGAGAGAGGUUCUCAAAGAGUGUUGGCUCUUGAAGCCCUGAGAAGGGAAAACAAUAUUGUGCAAUCAAAAACUACCACCUCAGCAGGAGAGGUCAGGACUGGAUUUUCCAUUACAGGAGGGGUAAAUUUGGAACCUGAAGGCAUUCUUGGAAUUUUGGUUCCCAAAGUGCAGUGGAACCCGUCUGAUCAUUGGAAACGUGGAUGAGCUUUGCUUUCAGAACGCAAGCUACUAUAAAAAUAAUGGUUUGCAAAACAAAUUGUGUAGUGGUGGUAGAGUUUCUGGGUUCUACAAACAUCACAGCAUGAAUCUUUAAAGUCCUUCCAUAAAUAUAUAUUUUGGGGAUAGAUGCAUAUCGGGUAGAGAAAUCAAGAAUUCUGAAAUUUGACCCUUAAAGAAGUGGCAGUUUCAUUGAGGAAUAAACCAGGCAGUCACAAUGACAUAAUUAAGAGUGCUAGGCAAAAAAUGAUAAGGAUCACAUAACAGCACUCAGGAAGAAGAAAGAAAUCAUUGCUCCCAAUGGUCUUAAGAUAGAUGAAUUUGCAAAUGAAUAUUUAGGUUAUUGAAAUCAGGAAACACCUGAGAAACUGCUGGAGAACUUCAGAAACUAUUUUAUCAAUCAGGUCUAAUCAGAUUUAAUGUGAAGAGUCUAUGUUAAAGGCUUUUGGCCAAAGGUUUCUGGUCAACACUGAGAGUUGAUAACAUUUUCACCCACAUAAGUCUUGAUUUCUCAUUAGUAUAAUCAAUAAUUUAUUACAUAGCUGUAUUUUAGUUUCUAAUUGGUCUAUUUAUAAAAGCUAAUGAUUUCGUUUUUUAAUUUUUUUUUAAGUUAUUUUGAAAGGAGCAUGAGCAGGGGAGGGGCAGAGAGAGAGAGAGAGAGAAUCCCAGGCAGGUUCCAUGUUGUCAGUGCAGAGCCCCUAAACAUUUUUCUUAAUAAAAAUAAAAAUAAAAAAAGCUAAAAGGUGCCUGGGUGGCUCAGUUGGUUAGGCAUCCAACUCUUGAUUUUGACUCAGGUUAUGAUCUCGGCAGGUUAUGAUCUCAUGGUUCAUGGGUUGGAGCCUCCCACUGGACUCUGUGUUGACAGCAUGGAGCCUGCUUGGGAUUCUCUCUCUCCCCUCUCUCUCUGCCUUUACCCCCCUCAUUCUCUCCGUCAAAAUAAAUAAACUUCAAAAAAAAAUUUUUAAAGAAAGAUAUUUAAACAAACAGAAAAUAAGAAAGAAUUAGAAAGAAUGGUACACCAAACAGCCAUAUACUCAUUACUUGGAUCCAAAACUGGGUAACAUUUUGUCAUAUUGACUUUAUCUUUGUGUAUAUACGUGUGUAUUACUAAAUCAUUUCAAAGUUUAUGUCGGUUAUGAUAGUUCAUCCUUACAUAUUUUAUGUUGUAGCUGUAAAAAGUUAAGAAUAUUCUUCUUAUUAACCAUAAUACUACCAUUAGACCAACAAAAUGAACAAUAAUUCCCUUGUGAUAAUAUCCAGCACACAUUUAUAUUUUCCUAUCUGUUCCAAAUAUAUUUUAUAGCUGUUUUAGCUUGUUACUUAAAAGAUCACUGAAAUCACAAUUACCAUUAAAUAACUACUGUUGGUAUCACUUAUAUUUUUAAUUGCCUAAUAUCCCUUCCUAUCAUGUGUUAGGUUAUAAUCUAACACAAAGAAAUUUUGGGUAUCUCAGCCCUUUUUACAAGCCCUGGCUAGACCCUUUUCCCCUUUUUUGCCUUUGUUUUUCACUUUCUUUCAGCUGGCUCCCAACUUUUUAGUUUUACCUGCUUUUUGCUACCCUUCCAACCUGACACCACUGGCCUCUGCAGUCUUGGCCUCAGUUGUCUCCUGGAUAGUUUUUGGACCCUCCUCUGGAUCUCUUUCCUUCAGUUGUUACACCCUAUUUGACCAAACCGGUGCCAACAUUGGGCAAGCUAUGCCUUGGACAUCUACUGGGGUCCUCAUCUAGGGAAAUGGGACAUUUUUGCAUUUAGCAUUUAGGGAUUCUAAAGACCUGGAAAUUUAUCUUGCCCUCUCUUUGCUGUGGCCGAACACACUUCCACGGCUUCAUUUCUGCUCCUGUUUCUCCAUCUGGCAUCUUCAGAUUGAUGCUUCAUUGAACUACAGGUUUGGUGUCGUUCUCCAGACCUCAACUAAAAGAAGAGUUUUUCUGCAUUUCAGCUGUACAUUCAUAGAGUCUUCCUUUUUAGGGUAGGUGGAGAAGGGCCAGUUCAGGAUGCCCAGGUGCCCAAGGAAGCUAAUGAUUUGAUGCUCCAUUAAAUCAAUGCUUAAAGAGUAUUUGUUUAGGGGUGCCUGGGUGGCUCAAUCGGUUAAGCAUCUGACUCUUGACUUCAGCUCAGGUUGUGAUCUCACAGUUCAUGGGUUCAAGCCCCACCCUGGCUCUGUGCUGACAGCGUGCAGCCUGCUUGGGAUUCUCUCUCUCUCUCUCUC